rnacentral:rRNA from 1 species
UACAGAGGGUGCGAGCGUUAAUCGGAAUUACUGGGCGUAAAGCGCGCGUAGGCGGCUUUGCAAGCCGGAUGUGAAAUCCCCGGGCUUAACCUGGGAACUGCAUUCGGGACUGCAUUGCUAGAGUAUGGGAGAGGGAAGCGGAAUUCCGGGUGUAGCGGUGAAAUGCGUAGAUAUCCGGAGGAACACCGGUGGCGAAGGCGGCUUCCUGGACCGACACUGACGCUGAGGCGCGAAAGCUAGGGGAGCAAACGGG